UACGGGGGGAGCAAGCGUUGUUCGGAUUUACUGGGCGUAAAGGGCGCGUAGGCGGUCAGCACAAGUCAAUUGUGAAAUCUCCGAGCUUAACUCGGAAAGGUCAACUGAAACUGUGCGACUAGAGUGCGGAAGGGGCAACUGGAAUUCUUGGUGUAGCGGUGAAAUGCGUAGAUAUCAAGAGGGACACCUGCGGCGAAGGCGGGUUGCUGGGCCGACACUGACGCUGAAGCGCGAAAGCCAGGGGAGCGAACGGG
rnacentral:rRNA from 1 species